ACUACAGGUGCCUACCACCACGCCCGGCUAAUUUUUUGUAUUUUUAGUAGAGACGGGGUUUCACCAUGUAAGCCAGGAUGGUCUCUGUCUCCUGACCUCAUGAUCUGCUCGCCUUGGCCUCCCAAAGUGCUGGGAUUACAGGCGUGAGCCACUGUGCCCGGCCGAGAAAUAACAUUCUUUUAAAGUCAGUUUCCUUUAAGUGAAAACUUUUCAGUAAAAGGUUUUAUCAUGUUAGAUUGGCUUUUUAAAAAGUAGAUCAAGAGGCAUGUUUUAAAAUACAGGCGGUUGUCUAACAAGCUGUUCUAAGCAAGGUUCUGGUUUGUUUUAGGUCAGUAUGACGGUAGGGGAAAGCCAUUGCCAGAGUACCACGUGCGAAUCGCCGGGUUUGAUGAGCGGGUGACAGUCAUGGCGUCUAUGCGAAGGCCCAAGCGCAUCAUCAUCCGUGGCCACGACGAGAGGGAACACCCUUUCCUGGUGAAGGGUGGUGAGGACCUGCGGCAGGACCAGCGCGUAGAGCAGCUCUUCCAGGUCAUGAAUGGGAUCCUGGCCCAAGACUCCGCCUGCAGCCAGAGGGCCCUGCA
rnacentral:sRNA from 1 species